AAUUCGUGGCAAAUAAUACCGGGAUUUUCGGCACUUAAAAGGGCCGGGAUCCCGGGAUUAGCAUCCCUAAUAUGUAAAUAUAUAGUAGCGGCAAUGAAU